rnacentral:rRNA from 1 species
CCUACGGGAGGCAGCAGUGGGGGAUAUUGCACAAUGGGGGGAACCCUGAUGCAGCGACGCCGCGUGGGUGAAGGAGUGCUUCGGCAUGUAAAGCCCUAUCGGCAGGGAAGAAGCAAGACGGUACCUGACUAAGAAGCCCCGGCUAACUACGUGCCAGCAGCCGCGGUAAGCCGUAGGGGGCGAGCGUUAUCCGGCUUUACUGGGUGGAAAGGGAGGGUCGACGGCAAUGCCAGCCAGGGGUGGAAGCCCGGGGGCCAACCCAGGGACUGCCCGUGGAACUGCAUGGCUUGAGUACGGGAGGGGCAGGCGGAAUUCCUGGUGUAGCGGUGAAAUGCGUAGAUAUCAGGAGGAACACCGGCGGCGAAGGCGGCCUGCUGGACCGCGACUGACGUUGAGGCGCGAAAGCGUGGGGAGCGAACAGGAUUAGAUACCCUUGUAGUC